rnacentral:tRNA from 1 species
AUUUAUAUAGUUUAAAUAAAAACAUUACAUUUUCACUGUAAAAAUAAAAAUUUAUUUUUUAUAAAUA